GAUGAAGAACGUAGCGAAAUGCGAUAAGUAAUGUGAAUUGCAGAUUUCAGUGAAUCAUCGAAUCUUUGAACGCACAUUGCGCCCGCCAGUAUUCUGGCGGGCAUGCCUGUUCGAGCGUCAUUACAACCCUCAGGCCCCCGGGCCUGGCGUUGGGGAUCGGCGGAAGCCCCCUGCGGGCACAACGCCGUCCCCCAAAUACAGUGGCGGUCCCGCCGCAGCUUCCAUUGCGUAGUAGCUAACACCUCGCAACUGGAGAGCGGCGCGGCCACGCCGUAAAACACCCAACUUCUGAAUGUUGACCUCGAAUCAGGUAGGAAUACCCGCUGAACUUAAGCAUAUCAAUAAGCGGAGGA
rnacentral:misc_RNA from 1 species